CAGCACAGUCUUCAUUACUGGCCAUGGCAGGGAGGAGUACAGUUUAGAAAGGCCAUGGUCCCAACACCCACUGAUCAAAACUUCUGAGUCCGUAAGUCUCUGAUUACAAUUCCUUUUAAGGAACAGCCUAUAACCCUAACCCAACCUUUGGGGAGUCCAUCCUUCUACGAUUCAACAUCCAGGUGUGACAAGGGAGGGCCUAAAAUCUACCCAUCACCCAGCUAGGAGGCACAGCAGCCCCACCCGAAUCCGACUCAAAGGCCCAGGGUGUCUCUCCUGCCCAGGACCCUUAGGUCUCGCUGGAGGGGAGUCUGGAGACCAGGGCAGGAGUGCGGGGCAAGAGCUCAGUUAGACUGAUAAUAGGGCUCGGGCAGUUUCCACCACAGCUGCGGCUACAACCCACGUGUACUGACCCCUCACCAGGCCGGAGCUGGGGCUCAGGACUGGGCAAAUCUAGGAGGGACAGAGGUAUAAGCCAAACCUUGCCUUCAAGGACUUUCAGACCAGCUACAGAACCAGACAAGCCCAGGCCCAGUGUGGUCUGGGCUGGAGGCUUGGCUGGAACAGCGGGGGCACCACAUAGUCCAGAGACUUCCCGAGGGACAGGAAGGAUGGCACCUGAGGUUCCCUUGCCAUGCCACCCAUAGUCACUGGCCAGCAGCCUUCCUGUUGGGAAAAGGGAGAUGGGGGAGGGAACCUUGCCUGACAUCUCAUCCUGGCCUGAGCUUUGAUCUUGGAGCCUCCCAAC
rnacentral:lncRNA from 1 species